CGUGGACAAGGAGUGACGGAAACUGCGCGGGGUGGCGUAUAAUACGUAAUAAUAUUAUUGAAUCAGUCGCGGUAGUAGCGCUACCCCCGCUCACGGCCUACACACGGGAACACGACAACGACGGCGGGAGCGGGGAUCGGAUCCGUCGGAGACGCGACGGCGGGCGGCCGCGCGGCGACCGUGCUGUCCGGCGUGAAAGACGAUCGGCUUCGAGGACUUGGAGUGGCCGGACGUGUUCGACGACCGGUACUACGAUGACGACGUGGACACGCGCUCGGUGCGGCCGCAGCCGCUACGGGCGGCCGCUGCGAUGGUGAACAGUGGUGCUGGCCGCACCGCUCUCGCUGGCACCGGGCACUACCAUCACCACCACCAACACCAUCACCAUCACCACCUCCAGUCGCAGUCGACCACUAACUUCCUGCAUCACCACCACUACCUGCACCAAUACCACCACAACAGCGUGUAUUACCGCGGCCGCGCGCACCCGCAGCGCCGGCACAACAUUCACCACCAUCUCGCGGACAAAACGUCCUACUAUCAUCACAACCAUCACCACCACCGGGGUCAGUCACCGUCUUCGCCGCCGCCGACGUCGCCGUCCACGUCCAACCGGCCGCUCUACAGACGGGUGUACAACUUCAUCCGGCAGGCGUGGACCGGCGUCAAGUUCUCAUUAGAUUCCGAAUUUGACGAUUUGGAAACACCACCCAGGUACAGACCCGAAAGCGUACAAUACUUUUGCCGGACGACAGGUUUCACGGAAUCGGAAAUCAAAAAAAUUUACCGAAAUUUCAAGACGGAAUGCCCAACUGGGCUCAUCAAGGAAGAUGCGUUCCGUGGCAUUUACUCGCAAUUUUUCCCUCAAGGAGCCAACAUAAGUCAAUACGCUCAUUAUGUCUUUCAAUCGCUGGACCACGAAAGAAACGGCAUUCUAAAUUUUGAGGACAUGGUGCAGGGACUGUGGACGCUGUCGCGGGGAUCGGUUGACGACAAGCUCCGGUGGGCGUUCACGCUAUAUGACCUGGAUGGUGACGGGCAAAUAUGUCGGGACGAGAUGACACGCGUCGUGACGGCUAUCUACGAACUGAUGGGCAAAUUCGCCGAACCGUGGCUCAAGGACGGCACGACGGUGGCCGCGCACGUAGAUUUCGUCUUCCAGAAAAUGGACCUCAAUCGAGACGGGGUGGUGUCAUUCGACGAGUUCAUGGAAACCUGUAAAAAUGACGAGAACAUCACCCGUGCAAUGAUCUCAAUGUAGACGAGAGACAUCGUUAAUAUAGAUGAUAAGUAUCAUACCGUGGACAUUGUUAGAAAAUAAAAUUAUAUCAAAGAACUGGUCGAUGACAACGGUAGGAUGACGUGAAAUCGGCAGACAUCAUCUGAACGAUGAACAGAAAGACAGUGAUCAGAAAUGUGGCUCUAUGUCUGUUAAGAUAUUUGAAACGCACCAUUUCCUCAACCAGAUGGUGCCAUCGACUAACAUAUUUACUGAUAUAAUAUGCACAUCAUAUGAAAUGAUAGGUGCGUUGUAAAUAUAAAUGAAUAAAACCAAACAUUUGUAAAUUUUUCUUUUCGCCAUUGACCUAAAUAAACGAUAUUAUCAUUCCUAUAUUAUUAUUACAUUAAUUACGUGUGUUAUCCUAAAAUAUUACCAGGGUUAUUCGUGCAUUGUAAAUACGAUGAAUAAUAUAAUAUAUAGUGUUCCCUUCAACGAUAUCAAACUAGUUUUAUUAUAAAAUCAAAUAUUUAAACAGUUAAAAAUAUAAUAUAAUACUUAUAUCAAUUAAUGUAUUUU